ACAACCAUACCAUGCUGAAUAUACCGGUUCUCGUUAGAUCACCGAAGUCAAGCAUCAUUGGGCGCUUGUCAGUACUUGGGUGGGGGUGACCACCUGGG
rnacentral:rRNA from 1 species